rnacentral:lncRNA from 1 species
CUACCACCAUGUAACAUUCCUGUAGUUCAAACAGUUGAGCAUGUAAUUUCCUACUUUUGUUGAAAAUGAAUGACUUUGGUCGCUUUGAUGCUGUCAGUUCUAACCAGAUGAAUUUUAACCAAAAUAUCAGUGUUUGAUUGAAUGCACAGCUUUUAACAUAAAAUGUUUUAAAACUUGAAAUAUUUUUCUGUCCUGACAAUGGCCAAAUGUGUAUAUAUAAAUUGCCUUAAAUGAUGGUAUACAUUCCUGUGCAUCCUCUACAUCUAAUGUUCUGUCUGCAGUGACUUGAACCACAGUACACAGUAUGUGCAGGGACUGGCCUUGUGCACCCUGGGCUGCAUGGGCUCAUCCGAAAUGUGCCGUGACUUAGCUGGAGAAGUGGAGAAACUCCUCAAAACGUCAAACUCCUAUCUGAGGAAAAAGGUAUUUCACACUCCUUCACAGCUGAACGUGGACUUCAUGUCCAGUUGCAUGUCGAGCUCUGAAUGUGUGAACGGUUUUGACAUGAGCUCUUCGCCCUCAGGCAGCUCUGUGUGCAGUUCACGUCAUCCGCAAAGUCCCGGAGCUGAUGGAGAUGUUCCUGCCAGCAACAAAAAACCUGCUCGGCGAGAAAAAUCAUGGAGUUCUCCACACGUCUGUUGUUCUGCUCACUGAAAUGUGUGAGCGAAGUCCUGACAUGCUCUCUCACUUCAGGAAGGUGCGUAGCAAGCGUUCAUGUCUUGACCUUCUGCAGUCACCUCUAAAACUGUUUAUGCACCACAUCAGCAACUCUGAGACAAAAGCGCACUCUAUCUGUUGCUGAUAGCAUUGACAUGACUACUGAAAUGAGACUGUAGUCCUUACUGAAAUCUGGAUGCUUGUCCUGGAUUUAGCUGCAGGUGUGGUUAUCUCACUGGGAGAUGAAUACGGGUUCUUCCUCUCGGUGUAUCUGCUUCUACUUUUCCCACCCCCAGCCUGAUCUACUGUGCCAGCACGCCCACCUCUCAUGCUCAUAACCGUAACAUUAUGUUAAGCUCUUCUCUGAAAGUGACUUUUUUUCCAAUUCCCCCCUAACAUCUACUUCAUAUUUUUUCUGUCAUUUGUCUUUGUUACAAUUCCUGCAUUGUGUUAGAAUGAGAAGGUAAGAGGACAUUCUGGUUUCAUAGCUGGUGCAUGCUUAAAGAAAAUAAACAAAAAAAAGCCUCAUC